rnacentral:rRNA from 1 species
GUAGUCUCGCACAGAUGCAUAUCAAUAAGCGGAGGAAAAGAAACUAACAAGGAUUCCCCUAGUAACGGCGAGUGAAGCGGGAAGAGCUCAAAUUUGAAAUCUUAAAGGGUUUCCCUUUACGAAUUGUAGUUUAAAGAAGUGUUUUCUGUUGAGGUUUUGGUAAAAGUUCUUUGGAAUAGGACAUCAUAGAGGGUGAGAAUCCCGUAUUUGACCUUUACUUUCAACUUUGUGAUACACUUUCAAAGAGUCGGAUUGUUUGGGAAUGCAGUCCAAAAUGGGUGGUAAAUUUCAUCUAAAGCUAAAUAUUGGCGAGAGACCGAUAGCGAACAAGUACCGUGAGGGAAAGAUGAAAAGAACUUUGAAAAGAGAGUUAAACAGUACGUGAAAAUAAUUGUCAAAAGGGAAGCGUUUGACACCAGUGUUGUUUUUCUGAAAAUCAAUUAAAGAACUGUUUAUGCUAAGCUGUUUAGACUUUAUCAGCUAUCUGUUAGUUUUGAGCUUUUCUUUAAUGCACUUUUCAGUUAACAAGUCAACAUCAAUUUCUUUUGCUGUAAAAAAGCUUGAGGAAGGUGGCUUGAGAUUCGUCUUAAGUGUUUAUAGCCUCUUGCCUAUGCAGUCGGAGAGAUUGAGGUCUGCAGCGUAGAUCCUUCGGGGCUAAAUGCAUUUGUGCUAAGUUAUAGCAUUUUAUAGACAACUUGUUGACUAUGAUUUGUCUUGUAGCUUACUCGCUUAUGUUAUUUUACCUACGCUUAGGAUGUUGACGCAUGAGAUAUACGC